GCCGUAACUAUAACGGUCCUAAGGUAGCGAAAUUCCUUGUCGGGUAAGUUCCGACCCGCACGAAAGGCGUAACGAUUUGGGCACUGUCUCAACAACAGACUCGGGGAAAUUGUAAUUCCGGUGAAGAUGCCGGAUACCUGCGACAGGACGGAAAGACCCCAUGGAGCUUUACUGUAGCUUGACAUUGGGUCUUGGUACUACAUGUACAGGAUAGGUGGGAGGCUUUGAAACCAGGACGCCAGUUUUGGCGGAGCCAUCCUUGGGAUACCACCCUUGUAGUACUGGGACUCUAACCAUAG
rnacentral:rRNA from 1 species